rnacentral:miRNA from 1 species
AGGGUCGUGGAUACGCACUGU